CACGUAGGGCGCAAGCGUUGUCCGGAAUUAUUGGGCGUAAAGAGCUCGUAGGCGGACUGUUGCGUCCGCUGUGAAAAGCUGGGGCUUAACCCUGGCCUUGCAGUGGAUACGGGCAGACUAGAGGUAGGUAGGGGAGAAUGGAAUUCCCGGUGUAGCGGUGAAAUGCGCAGAUAUCGGGAGGAACACCGGUGGCGAAGGCGGUUCUCUGGGCCUUACCUGACGCUGAGGAGCGAAAGCGUGGGGAG
rnacentral:rRNA from 1 species